rnacentral:tRNA from 1 species
GGCAUCGUAGCUCAGUUAGCUAGAGCGGUGGCUGUACUGACGCCUCCCUCUUGCUGACGUGGGUUCGAAUCCCACCGAGGCUG